rnacentral:rRNA from 1 species
UACAGAUGGACCCGCGGCGCAUUAGCUAGUUGGUGAGGUAACGGCUCACCAAGGCGACGAUGCGUAGCCGACCUGAGAGGGUGAUCGGCCACACUGGGACUGAGACACGGCCCAGACUCCUACGGGAGGCAGCAGUAGGGAAUCUUCCGCAAUGGACGAAAGUCUGACGGAGCAACGCCGCGUGAGUGAUGAAGGUUUUCGGAUCGUAAAGCUCUGUUGUUAGGGAAGAACAAGUGCAAGAGUAACUGCUUGCACCUUGACGGUACCUAACCAGAAGGGCGGGGCUAACUACGUGCCAGCAGCCGCGGUAAUACGUAGGUGGCAAGCGUUGUCCGGAAUUAUUGGGCGUAAAGGGCUCGCAGGCGGUUUCUUAAGUCUGAUGUGAAAGCCCCCCGCUCAACCGGGGAGGGUCAUUGGAAACUGGGAAACUUGAGUGCAGAAGAGGAGAGUGGAAUUCCACGUGUAGCGGUGAAAUGCGUAGAGAUGUGGAGGAACACCAGUGGCGAAGGCGACUCUCUGGUCUGUAACUGACGCUGAGGAGCGAAAGCGUGGGGAGCGAACAGGAUUAGAUACCCUGGUAGUCCACGCCGUAAACGAUGAGUGCUAAGUGUUAGGGGGUUUCCGCCCCUUAGUGCUGCAGCUAACGCAUUAAGCACUCCGCCUGGGGAGUACGGUCGCAAGACUGAAACUCAAAGGAAUU